rnacentral:rRNA from 1 species
AUCUAGAUGAUCCAACCAGUAGUAAUUCGCUCGUCACAAAGAUUCAGCCAUGCAUGGGUAAGGAUAAAUAGGUACCUUUGAAGCUGCGAAUGUUUCAUUAUAUCAGUUAUAGUUUAUGUGAUGAAGAAUACUAAUUGGAUAACCGUAGUAAUUCUAGAGCUAAUACAUGUAUAAAGUCUUGUAGUCUGCAUUUAUUAGAAUGAAAACCAUAGGUUUCGGCCUAUUCGUGAGUAAUAAUAACUAAUCAUAUCGUAUGCUUAUGUAGCGAUGUUUCUUUCAAGUUUCUGCCCUAUCAGCUUUGGAUGGUAGUGUACUGGCCUCCCAUGGCAGUGGCGGGUAGCGAAGAAUUUGGGUUCCAUUUCGGAGAGCGAGCCAGAGAGAUGCCCCCCCCAUCCAAGGAACACAGCAGGCGAGUAACCCACCCUAUCCCCGCGCAGGGAGGUAGAGACAAUAACACACAAUGCGCCUCAAGGUUUUGCAAUUGGAAUGAGAACAACGUACAUCCCUUAUCGAUAAACAAUUGGAGGGCAAGUCUGGUGCCAGCAGCCGCGGUAAUCCAGCUCCAUAGC